rnacentral:tRNA from 1 species
GGGGAUAUAGUUUUAAUUGGAAAAACAUAUGUUUUGCAUACAUAAGAUUAUCAGUUCGAAUCUGAUUAUUUCCA